rnacentral:rRNA from 2 species
GUUUCUUCUUUAUACCAGACGAAGGAUACGGCAAUAACAGGUCUGUGAUGCCCUCAGAUGUUCCGGGCUGCACACGUGCUACAAUGAUCACUGCACUGUGCAUCUAACCCAAUGUGCGUGGACGCCGCAUGCAUGUACUCCUUGUGGGUACACGCAUUGCUGAGCGACCACGCCGAACCUACUUCGAAAGUAAAAUUUCUCUGUGGGUAAUCCAUUAGAAGUAAUGACUCGCAUAGACCAUGGCACACCAAAUGUACGCGCAGGUCUACCCGGCUCGCCUUUGUGUGAGUGCAGUGCGUAGCUUGUUGUUUCGUACGUGCCACUCCGUAUUAAUUCGUACGUGGGGAUAGAUCAUUGUUUAAUUGUUGGUCUCGGUCUUAACUAGGAAUGCCUUGUACGGGUCUCUGGUUCAACAUACCACCCGGAAUACGUCCCUGCCCUUUGUACACACCGCCCGUCGCUCUUACCGAUGGAUUA